UGCAGUCGAACGAUGAUCCCCAGCUUGCUGGGGGGAUUAGUGGCGAACGGGUGAGUAACACGUGAGUAACCUGCCCUUAACUCUGGGAUAAGCCUGGGAAACUGGGUCUAAUACCGGAUAUGACUGACCGUCGCAUGGUGGUUGGUGGAAAGCUUUAUUGUGGUUUUGGAUGGACUCGCGGCCUAUCAGCUUGUUGGUGAGGUAAUGGCUUACCAAGGCGACAACGGGUAGCCGGCCUGAGAGGGUGACCGGCCACACUGGGACUGAGACACGGCCCAAACUCCUACGGGAGGCAGCAGUGGGGAAUAUUGCACAAUGGGCGCAAGCCUGAUGCAGCGACGCCGCGUGAGGGAUGACGGCCUUCGGGUUGUAAACCUCUUUCAGUAGGGAAGAAGCGAAAGUGACGGUACCUGCAGAAGAAGCGCCGGCUAACUACGUGCCAGCAGCCGCGGUAAUACGUAGGGCGCAAGCGUUAUCCGGAAUUAUUGGGCGUAAAGAGCUCGUAGGCGGUUUGUCGCGUCUGCCGUGAAAGUCCGGGGCUCAACUCCGGAUCUGCGGUGGGUACGGGCAGACUAGAGUGAUGUAGGGGAGACUGGAAUUCCUGGUGUAGCGGUGAAAUGCGCAGAUAUCAGGAGGAACACCGAUGGCGAAGGCAGGUCUCUGGGCAUUAACUGACGCUGAGGAGCGAAAGCAUGGGGAGCGAACAGGAUUAGAUACCCUGGUAGUCCAUGCCGUAAACGUUGGGCACUAGGUGUGGGGGACAUUCCACGUUUUCCGCGCCGUAGCUAACGCAUUAAGUGCCCCGCCUGGGGAGUACGGCCGCAAGGCUAAAACUCAAAGGAAUUGACGGGGGCCCGCACAAGCGGCGGAGCAUGCGAUUAUUCGAUGCAACGCGAAGAACUUACCAGCUUGACAUGACUAGACGCGCAGAGAU
rnacentral:rRNA from 2 species